UGGGGAAUUUUGCACAAUGGGGGAAACCCUGAUGCAGCGACGCCGCGUGUUUUAUAAGGCCUUCGGGUUGUAAAAAUCUUUUCUAUGGGAAGAAAAUGACAGUACCAUAGGAAUAAGGACCGGCUAAUUACGUGCCAGCAGCCGCGGUAAUACGUAAGGUCCGAGCGUUGUCCGGAAUCAUUGGGCGUAAAGGGUACGUAGGCGGGUAAGCAAGUUAGAAGUGAAAUCCUAUAGCUCAACUAUAGUAAGCUUUUAAAACUGCUCAUCUUGGGGUAUGGAAGGGAAAGUGGAAUUCCUAGUGUAGCGGUGAAAGGCGCAGAUAUUAGGAGGAAUAACGGUGGCGAAGGCGACUUUCUGGCCAUAACCUGACGAUGAGGUACGAAAGCGUGGGUAGCAAACAGG
rnacentral:rRNA from 1 species